rnacentral:tRNA from 1 species
GCGGGUGUGCCUGAGUGGUUAGGGGGCGGUCUGCAAAACCGUGUACGCGGGUUCGAUUCCCGCCACUCGCU